rnacentral:rRNA from 1 species
GAUCCUGGCUCAGGAUGAACGCUGGCGGCGUGCUUAACACAUGCAAGUCGAACGAAGCACUUUAACCUGAUUCUUCGGAUGAAGGUUUUUGUGACUGAGUGGCGGACGGGUGAGUAACGCGUGGGUAACCUGCCUCAUACAGGGGGAUAACAGUUAGAAAUGACUGCUAAUACCGCAUAAGACCACGGAACCGCAUGGCUCAGUGGGAAAAACUCCGGUGGUAUGAGAUGGACCCGCGUCUGAUUAGG